rnacentral:rRNA from 1 species
GAUGAACGCUGGCGGCGUGCCUAAUACAUGCAAGUCGAGCGAACGGGCGAGAAGCUUGCUUCUCUGAUGUUAGCGGCGGACGGGUGAGUAACACGUGGAUAACCUACCUAUAAGACUGGGAUAACUUCGGGAAACCGGAGCUAAUACCGGAUAAUAUUUUGAACCGCAUGGUUCAAAAGUGAAAGACGGUCUUGCUGUCACUUAUAGAUGGAUCCGCGCUGCAUUAGCUAGUUGGUAAGGUAACGGCUUACCAAGGCAACGAUGCAUAGCCGACCUGAGAGGGUGAUCGGCCACACUGGAACUGAGACACGGUCCAGACUCCUACGGGAGGCAGCAGUAGGGAAUCUUCCGCAAUGGGCGAAAGCCUGACGGAGCAACGCCGCGUGAGUGAUGAAGGUCUUCGGAUCGUAAAACUCUGUUAUUAGGGAAGAACAUAUGUGUAAGUAACUGUGCACAUCUUGACGGUACCUAAUCAGAAAGCCACGGCUAACUACGUGCCAGCAGCCGCGGUAAUACGUAGGUGGCAAGCGUUAUCCGGAAUUAUUGGGCGUAAAGCGCGCGUAGGCGGUUUUUUAGUCUGAUGUGAAAGCCCACGGCUCAACCGUGGAGGGUCAUUGGAAACUGGAAAACUUGAGUGCAGAAGAGGAAAGUGGAAUUCCAUGUGUAGCGGUGAAAUGCGCAGAGAUAUGGAGGAACACCAGUGGCGAAGGCGACUUUCUGGUCUGUAACUGACGCUGAUGUGCGAAAGCGUGGGGAUCAAACAGGAUUAGAUACCCUGGUAGUCCACGCCGUAAACGAUGAGUGCUAAGUGUUAGGGGGUUUCCGCCCCUUAGUGCUGCAGCUAACGCAUUAAGCACUCCGCCUGGGGAGUACGACCGCAAGGUUGAAACUCAAAGGAAUUGACGGGGACCCGCACAAGCGGCGGAGCAUGUGGUUUAAUUCGAAGCAACGCGAAGAACCUUACCAAAUCUUGACAUCCUUUGACAACUCUAGAGAUAGAGCCUUCCCCUUCGGGGGACAAAGUGACAGGUGGUGCAUGGUUGUCGUCAGCUCGUGUCGUGAGAUGUUGGGUUAAGUCCCGCAACGAGCGCAACCCUUAAGCUUAGUUGCCAUCAUUAAGUUGGGCACUCUAAGUUGACUGCCGGUGACAAACCGGAGGAAGGUGGGGAUGACGUCAAAUCAUCAUGCCCCUUAUGAUUUGGGCUACACACGUGCUACAAUGGACAAUACAAAGGGCAGCGAAACCGCGAGGUCAAGCAAAUCCCAUAAAGUUGUUCUCAGUUCGGAUUGUAGUCUGCAACUCGACUACAUGAAGCUGGAAUCGCUAGUAAUCGUAGAUCAGCAUGCUACGGUGAAUACGUUCCCGGGUCU